rnacentral:rRNA from 1 species
GACAGAGGGUGCAAACGUUGUUCGGAAUUACUGGGCGUAAAGCGUGUGUAGGCGGCCAUGUAAGUCGGAUGUGAAAGCCCCGGGCUUAACCCGGGAAGUGCAUUCGAUACUGCGUGGCUUGAGUAUCGGAGAGGUUGGUGGAAUUCUCGGUGUAGAGGUGAAAUUCGUAGAUAUCGAGAGGAACACCGGUGGCGAAGGCGGCCAACUGGACGAAUACUGACGCUGAGACACGAAAGCGUGGGGGAUCAAACAGG